rnacentral:rRNA from 1 species
GAUUAACGCUGGCGGCGUGCAUAACACAUGCAAGUCGAACGAUGAAACUUUUUUGAUUUCUUCGGAAUGAUUAAAAGUGGAUUAGUGGCGGACGGGUGAGUAACGCGUGAGUAACCUGCCUUAGAGAAGGGGAUAGCCUUUGGAAACGAAGAAUAAUACCCUAUGACACCAUAACCUCGCAUGAGGAAUUGGUCAAAGAUUUAUCGCUCUAAGAUGGACUUGCGUCUGAUUAGUUAGUUGGUGGGGUAACGGCCCACCAAGACAGCGAUCAGUAGCCGGCUGGAGAGAGUGUACGGCCACAUUGGGACUGGGACACGGCCCAGACUCCUACGGGAGGCAGCAGUGGGGAAUUUUGCACAAUGGGGGAAACCCUGAUGCAGCGACGCCGCGUGAUUUAGAAGGCCUUCGGGUUGUAAAAAUCUUUUCUAUGGGAAGAAAAUGACAGUACCAUAGGAAUAAGGACCGGCUAAUUACGUG